rnacentral:rRNA from 1 species
GAUGAACGCUGGCGGCGUGCCUAAUACAUGCAAGUCGAGCGAACGGACGAGAAGCUUGCUUCUCUGAUGUUAGCGGCGGACGGGUGAGUAACACGUGGAUAACCUACCUAUAAGACUGGGAUAACUUCGGGAAACCGGAACUAAUACCGGAUGAUAUUUUGAACCGCAUGGUUCAAAAGUGAAAGACGGUCUUGCUGUCACUUAUAGAUGGAUCCGCGCUGCAUUAGCUAGUUGGUAAGGUAACGGCUUACCAAGGCAACGAUGCAUAGCCGACCUGAGAGGGUGAUCGGCCACCCUGGAACUGAGACACGGUCCAGACUCCUACGGGAGGCAGCAGUAGGGAAUCUUCCGCAAUGGGCGAAAGCCUGACGGAGCAACGCCGCGUGGGUGAUGAAGGUCUUCGGAUCGUAAAACUCUGUUAUUAGGGAAGAACAUAUGUGUAAGUAACUGUGCACAUCUUGACGGUACCUAAUCAGAAAGCCACGGCUAACUACGUG